rnacentral:lncRNA from 1 species
CGAAGCACAGGCUUGGGGCAACCCUGCCCUUGAAGAUGCUUCCUGCUUUUCAUUUCGUGAUGUGAGCUCAUCCCUCAUUCAGCCCUCCAGCUUCAUUUCCCUAACCUUGGGAUAAAGCUAUUUAAUCCUCUCUUUUUCCUCACAGCCAUCAUAAAGGGUGCAAGAUCAUUCCUAUUACCCCCUCAUGGCACAGGAGCGUCCCCGUUCCCCUUCAGGAUCUUCGCUGUCAAGGCCUCCUUCCUGGAGUGAAUCGCAGGCAGCCCUCAGGAGUGCACAGACCCCACUUCUGCAAGCAUGCGCUCCCACCCAGCACUGAAGGCUGCUCUACUCUGUGAUACACACAAGUCCCUUGGCCACUAAAAAGCCAGGGCUGACCUCCUCUGUGUACUUGUCCCAUUCUCCAUUGAAGAGAAUGGUCUACUCAGCCCCAUGUGUCCCUGAGAACAUGACCUGACAGUACAUGAAGGUUUAUUCCGAAUAACGACUUUUUUUUUUCUUGUUGCCCAGGCUGUAGUGCAGUGGCACGAUCUCAGCUCACUGCAACCUCUGCCUCCCAGGUUCAAGCGAUUCUCCUGCCUCAGCCUCCAGAGUAGCUGGGAAUACAGGCAUCUGCCACCACGCCCAGUUCUACUUGACAAGAGAUGACAGUGCCUUUAGGGAGGAGAAGGGACAUCUUUCCAAAGCAGCAAAUUCUUAUUGUGGAUGAAGUCAGUUCUUCAUUGGUCACAAGGACAACCCCAGAGAGUCACCCAUAGAGAAACCCUGUGCUUGGGGUUUGUCAAGGAAACGAGGAGACACGGUCUUAUUCUGUCACCCAGGCUGAAGUGCAAUGGUUUGAUCCUAGCUCACCGCAGCCUGAAACUUCUGGGCUCAAGUGAUCCUCCCAGCUCAGCCUCUCAAGUCUGGGAUUACAGGCAUGAGUCACUGUACCCAGGCUAA